AUGGCUCAGAACGAACGCUGGCGGCAGGCUUAACACAUGCAAGUCGAGCGCCCCGCAAGGGGAGCGGCAGACGGGUGAGUAACGCGUGGGAAUCUACCCUUGACUACGGAAUAACGCAGGGAAACUUGUGCUAAUACCGUAUGUGUCCUUCGGGAGAAAGAUUUAUCGGUCAAGGAUGAGCCCGCGUUGGAUUAGCUAGUUGGUGGGGUAAAGGCCUACCAAGGCGACGAUCCAUAGCUGGUCUGAGAGGAUGAUCAGCCACAUUGGGACUGAGACACGGCCCAAACUCCUACGGGAGGCAGCAGUGGGGAAUAUUGGACAAUGGGCGCAAGCCUGAUCCAGCCAUGCCGCGUGAGUGAUGAAGGCCCUAGGGUUGUAAAGCUCUUUUCACCGGAGAAGAUAAUGACG
rnacentral:rRNA from 1 species